UCUGGAUCGAUAAUGUAAACCUAUUGAAUCUAUAGAAUUACAUUAUUGAUCCAGAGA
rnacentral:pre_miRNA from 1 species